GCGCUUCGAAAAAAAAAAAAAAAAAAAAAAAAAAAAAAAAA
rnacentral:ribozyme from 13 species